CGUAGGUGAACCUGCGGAAGGAUCAUUAAUGAAUUAUAAGUCGAUCAUCUGUGCUGGUGGCAACACAUGUGCACGAACUGAUCGCAAAUCCACACACCUGUGCACUUUUGACUUUGGGAUCCGCUGGUUGGUUCUGUCUGACUUGCAGCUGGUUGGCCUUGUGCUGACUUGGGUCUCAGAGUAAUUUUUACACACUCUGAAUGUAAUGGAAUGUCUUGUGCAUAACGCAUAUAAAUACAACUUUCAACAACGGAUCUCUUGGCUCUCGCACCGAUGAAGAACGCAGCGAAAUGCGAUAAGUAAUGUGAAUUGCAGAAUUCAGUGAAUCAUCGAAUCUUUGAACGCACCUUGCACCUUUUGGCAUUCCGAAAGGUACACCCGUUUGAGUGUCAUUGUAAUCUCACUCCCUCAGCUUUUGUUGACGGAUGUGGACUUGGGCUCUGUUGCGUUACUGCGACUGGUCUUAAAUGUAUGAGUGCACCCUGCUGUUGCAGCGUCUUCAGUGUGAUAAGCAUCUUCACUGGACAAAGUUCCUUUGGGACACGCGAGCAUUGUGGGCUCUGGGCUACCAACUGUCUUUGGACAAACAUUGACAAUUUGACCUCAAAUCGGGUGGGACUACCCGCUGAACUUAAGCAUAUCAAUAAGCGGAGGAAAAGAAACUAACAAGGAUUCCCCUAGUAACGGCGAGUGAAGAGGGAAAAGCUCAAAUUUUGAAUCUGGUGUCUUUGGCGCCCGAGUUGUAAUCUAGAGAAGUGUUUUCUGCCUCGGACCACACAUAAAUUCCCUGGAAUGGGGUGUCAUAGAGGGUGAGAAUCCCGUUUGUGGNGUGGACUACCUUGGCUCUGUGAUACACUCUCAACGAGUCGAGUUGUUUGGGAAUGCAGCUCAAACUGGGUGGUAAAUUCCAUCUAAAGCUAAAUAUUGGCGAGAGACCGAUAGCGAACAAGUACCGUGAGGGAAAGAUGAAAAGCACUUUGGAAAGAGAGUGAAACAGUACGUGAAAUUGUUGAAAGGGAAGCGUUUGAAGUCAGUCACAUUGGUCGGAAUUCAGCCUGGCAUCGCCUGGUGUACUUUCUGGCAAAUGGGUCAGUGUCAAUUUUGACUGAGGGAGAAAGACUUGAGGAAUGUGGCUGUCUUCGGGCAGUGUUAUAGCCUCUUGUUGUAUGUCUCAGUUGGGAUUGAGGAUUGCAGCACGCCUUAUGGCCGGGGUUCGCCCUCGGUACGUGCUUAGGAUACUGGCAUAAUGGCUUUAAGCGACCCGUCUUGAAAUCACGGACC
rnacentral:rRNA from 1 species